rnacentral:rRNA from 1 species
AUAUUGCACAAUGGGGGAAACCCUGAUGCAGCGACGCCGCGUGAGCGAAGAAGUAUUUCGGUAUGUAAAGCUCUAUCAGCAGGGAAGAAACUGACGGUACCUGACUAAGAAGCACCGGCUAAAUACGUGCCAGCAGCCGCGGUAAUACGUAUGGUGCAAGCGUUAUCCGGAUUUACUGGGUGUAAAGGGAGCGUAGACGGAUAGGCAAGUCUGGAGUGAAAGCCCGGGGCUCAACCCCGGGACUGCUUUGGAAACUGUUUAUCUAGAGUGCUGGAGAGGUAAGUGGAAUUCCUAGUGUAGCGGUGAAAUGCGUAGAUAUUAGGAGGAACACCAGUGGCGAAGGCGGCUUACUGGACUGCAACUGACGCUCAGUCCCGAAAGCGUGGGGAGCAAAUA